CUGGAUCUGAGUCAACCUGCGAGCAGGGCAUUGAUGCCCCACCUAAAGCAACAGUGGCGUGGAGGGCUCCGCACUCCAGGCUUCCAGGUCUCGGACCCUCUUGAAGCCAGUAUCCCUAUGAUGGGGCAUUCUGAUGUCCACGUCUCCUCCUGGAACCUGUGACUGCCAGAGAAGCUUAGAAGGUACAAGCUCGUUAAGGGUGGACAGGCAGUCACAGACUACCAAGGGACCCAGGAUGCUUGAACCAUAAGAGAAGAGGAGACGAGACACGUCAGCCCAGGAAGUAUAAAGGUUAGGGCCAUAUUCUCCUUCCCUGGGUCCCUGGGGGCAGCCCAUGCUCCCAUUAAUUUUUGGCUGUGGGACACUGAGACUCUUAGUCUAGACCCUGAAGCUAAGAGUGGGGCUAAAGUCCUCCAUCCAAGAGUGUGUCCAAUCCAAAGUGUUCAGUUUCUCUCCUCAGGUUACUACGAAGGUCAGAAGGGUGAGGGUACCCACCUACUCAUCCUAGGGUGGGUAGGUAGGUACCCAUUAGUUUCCCCCUCUCUGAACCCCAGUUUCCCCAGCUGUAGGUCCCCGAGUUAGACCUCGAGGCCUAGGAAAGUCCCGGGUAAGUGGAGGUUUGCAGCUGCCUUCUGCUGAUUGGUUCUCGACAGCUCUGCCUCCCUGAGCUCUAGUCUACUGGCUUAGGAGCACCCUUGGGGAAGCAGGGCUGAAAAAGCUGAGACCACAAGGAUGGUUGCCUUCCGUGAGCGUGCCGGUAGCAGGUGGGCUAGUCGGCUUGGCUGGGCAUCUCUGAACUGUAUGCAGAAGUACUGAGCUCCACGGAGCCCGGUGAGGGGAGGCAGGUCCAUAAGGCUGCACUGCCCAAUGGGGAGGAAUGGAAGUCAGGAUGGUGGGAAGCAGAGAGAGGGGGAGGAGAGAGAGAGAGAGAGGGAGGGAGAGGGAGAGAGAGAGAGAGAGAGAGAGAGAGAGAGAGAGAGAGAGAGAGAGCCUGGAGCCAGUUGUGUGUAGUGGGGAGCUCCCAGAUAAAGCAGUUACUGUGGCCUUGGUUGUCCUGGCAGACAGCCCUAAUGUCCUGGCUCUGCUGAGCCUGGAGCAGGGGCUGCCACCUGUCUCCCCUGACUUGGGGACCCCCAGAUCACAGGCUCCUGGAGCUCUUUUAGGGAAAAGGCCUUCAGAACUGCCAGAAAGGAGACCCAAGGACACUGUGAACCUGUCCCUAAACCCUGCGGAUGCCCCACCUGCCUUAUAUCAGACUGACCAGGAUUCCAGGCCUGUGGGGGAGUCUCCCCCUGGCACCCUAACCUUCCUGUCUCACUCGAAUGGGCAGACAGCACCAGAACCAGUUUCAAGACAGAAGCCCGGGCUCAGGAUCAGACUUGCCAGGUUGACAUUCACUGGACCUGAAAAUAAGACUGUGUUCUUGAGUCUCCCAUUGAGACAGAUCUGGAGCAAACGGUGCUGGGGAGAAGUGGUCCCCAGCCCUCUGAAUCCUACCUCCGCUGCUUAUGCAGACUCACAGAGAGUUCAGACCCAAAGGUGUGUAGACGGAGCCACACUCUCACAGUCCCUCAGCCUGCUCCACGCUGUCUCUACUUUCACUGCCACUAGCCUCUGUCCUUGCAGGUAGCUCAGCCCGACUCCCGGAGUCGACGCUUGCACACCCCCUCCUUACACUCACACCCUGGAGAUCUCAUCACUCCUAGUUUCCGGACAGAGUUGCAGCCUGCUCAGUUCACCAGCCAGACCCACAGGAGAGCUGCACUCCUGCAGGGAUACUCAAACAGGUUGUGGUUCUCCCCCUUGUGCCUGUCAGAGGUCCCCUCAACACUGAAGGUCAGGUCAUCACAAUCCCUGCCUUAGGACUCUCCACUGCUUGUCUCUUCAUCUCUCCAAGUAGAAGCCCAUAUCCUGGGGUGCGGAGGGUGCGGGGAUGGGGCGGGGGGAGACGUGUACCUCCCCAGUCAGAGCUCCCUCUAGCCUUCAUCAGUGUUCCUACCUCUGCCAGGGAUAAGGCUGGGGUCUGGCAGGUUUCCACUGGAUAUCUUCCUGCUUGGCUAUGGCCCUCUUGUGACACUUUGUUUAACAAUGAGACACCACUUCACACCCACUACUACAACUGUGGUGGCUGUUAGCAAAACAGAAGCAAAAGCUCCUAAGAGGCAAGGGGGACCCGCCUCUCCCUGGGCGCCCAGCAGGUUAACAGCUGGCACUAAUGCUAAGUUCUUUGGCUCGGACUUAAGCGGUCCCUCUGAUGUCCAUUUCCCUGUACGGAAGCAAAGACACCAGGAACCAGGAAUUUGAGUAACUGGCAGCCGCUGGGCUCUUGUGCUGUCCUCGCUGCCUUGAUCAAGAGGACUGUAGGUCACACGCCAGAGCAACUACCGUCAUGCCAGCGCCAGGUGCUGGCUGCCGUGAACACUCCAUGAGUCGUAGCCAACUAAGCCAUAAGCUACAGCUGGCUCUCCCGGCCCCCGAAGGCCCAGCCCCACCCAGAGCUGUCUGAGACAGUGUGAGGUGGAUUUUGCAACCAGGAACUUUCAGAAACCAUUUCCACCUUGGCCAGACGGGGUGCACUUCCCACCCCACCCCCACCCCGUGGAGAGAAAACUGUGACUAACAGCCAAGCCAUGAUUGGUCUAAAACAUAAGGCUCAAUGCCUGUGGUUGGUGCUAGAAGCUGGAUGUAGUGGGCCCAAGGAAUGCUCUAAAUACUCCUUCUUGGGGUGUAUAAGCAGGCUGUGAGGGCUGGGAGUUGGCUGGAAGACAAGUCCUCCCUCUGCUGCCCUGUUUUGCUGCAACCUCUCAGCCCACCCUACAGUCAUACGCCCCCUGCACACCAUGCCGAUAGAGGUUAACAUACACAUUCGCGGUUGAGUAUAUUUUACAAUAAAGGAAAGGAAAGUAGAAAAUACACAGGUUCAAAAACAAAAACAGAAUCACACCCUGUUGUAAGGGGACACCUCGACCCGAGUAACCCUGACCCAUGUGGGCACACAGUUCCUCUACAAUCCUCCAGUGCUGAGCGCUGUUCUUACAAAGCUACGGCAGUCAGUCUGGCAGGUGGCACGGACGACUGAAGGGACAGCUGAACAGGUUAGCGUAGAGAAGGAAGGGAUAAGCAGAGACAACCACAGAGCGGAGAGCUGAUCAAUGCUGCCAGGAGCCCAAGGAAGAGACUAUAGACUGUGGCCACCUCGGAGUUCCGGAGAGCCAAGAAUGCUUCUACGUAAGAUCUGCAUGGGGACACUAACUUUCCAAUACCAGCACAGGGUCUUUAACAGGCUUAGUAGGGUAUAAGCUCGUUAAGGGUGGACAGGCAGUCACAGACUACCAAGGGACACAGGAUGCUUGAACCAUAACAGAAGAGAUGAGACACGUCAGCCCAGGAAGUAUAAAGGUUAGGGCCAUAUGCUCCUUCCCUGGGUCCCUGGGGGCAGCCCAUGCUCCCAUUGAUUUUUGGCUGUGGGACACUGAGACUCUUAGUCUAGACCCUGAAGCUAAGAGUGGGGCUAAAGUCCUCCAUCCAAGAGUGUGUCCAAUCCAAAGUGUUCAGUUUCUCUCCUCAGGUUACUACGAAGGUCAGAAGGGUGAGGGUACCCACCUACUCGUCCUAGGGUGGGUAGGUAGGUGCCCACUAGUUUCCCCCUCUCUGG